CUUCCUCAGGGAGGGCUCGCGCCGCGGAGGGAAAACAGCGUCUGGCGCCAUCUUAGGUUGAGACGAUCUGACCGGACAGGGCAGAGGAAUUUGGCCACUGCAAAAAGGUGAAACUGGAGGAGGUUUUGAAACAGCCGCCUUUAAUGAGUGGGAGAAAUUGGAGAAGGCAGCAGACCCAGCAGGAGCUGGGGGUGUUUAGCCUGGAGAAAAGGAGGCUCAGGGGUGACCUGAUCACUCUUCAGCUACCUGAAAGGCUGUAGCCAAGUGAGCUCUGCUCCCAGGCAGGACACAGUUUCAAACUGCACCAGGAGAGGUUCAGGGUGGACAUCAGGAAGAAUUCCUUCCCAGAAAAGGGUCUGUCCCGUGUCCCUCCCUGGCAAGCGGCCAGCAUCAGGGGGACCAUGGUUAAUCACCGGCCAUUAACAGUGACUUUAUGGAAAGAAGAAUGGUGCCACAGUGACAAUGAAGGAGUAUGAAUGCACAGCUGCAAACUGAGACACAAGGUUCAGGACAAGAAAGAAUCAGGCCCACAGGUGGUUCUUGUGUCAAUGAGCAGCUUUGUCUCCUUUGGGAAGUCACUUGAGCUCUGUGCUUUCCUUGUCUCCCUGCCUUUUCUGCCCUGUUUUAUUCUGAGGACUUCAUUUGUUCCUGCCAGGAUGUUUGUGCAGUGACUCUUUGGAGUGCACAGGUUGCUGCUUCUGGGUGUUGCAGUAAUAUAGACUAUACUAAUGUAAUGGAGGAUAAAAACCAGAGAAAUCUCCUGAAAGGCUACUUAGAAUAAUAGGUCUAUGAAUACAGCAGAAAGGGAAUGGGCAUAUCUAAAGACAGAGAGGAUAUCCAGCAGGACCUAAGAGAAAGAAAAAUGUUCUAAAGUGCAAAAUAAUAAAAAAGAGAGGAGGAACAAAGGCAUAAAAAGAAACAAAGUGUAUUAAAAACAGAUAUGUACACACAGAGGAAAUGUGUGCAUAUGAAUGAGAGAAACCUCAAAUGCAGUAAAUCUUGUUUGUAAGAGACAGAGCAGAAAGAAAAGCUGUUGUUCCUGACCCAUGGAAAGACAAGUUGCAUUGCAGGUUUGUUAGAUACCAGCAGCGCUCCAUGGACAGGGGAUACCAUGAAACGUAGAUCUUUAAGAAAUCUUAGCAACAGUUGUGUUUUUUGGUCAUUUUCUGUCGGAACCCAGAGCAUCUCUCUGGAUGCCCUGGAUGUCUCAAAGCCCUGGCAGGGGCUUGGAGACCCUGGCAGGAAGCCAAAGACACCUGGAAAUUCAAUCUUAAUUCA